UUUGUCUUUUAACUGCAGAUUAGAUAGAUAGAUACACACUGAUCAGCAGGGCUGGAUUGUGAAAGAAAUUCAGCCCAAGCAUUUAAAGCCACAGCAGCUCGGUAGAGGGGGUCGGGACAGAGAGGGGGCGUGCCAUGUCAUCAACAAUGACACACACGCCACCUCAAAGUGAGCAUGUUAGUUUGCUGUGCAUCCAGGGCAUCUCAUGCGCGAAGCCCUGCUGAAGAGCUCUGCCGUAG